rnacentral:lncRNA from 1 species
AUGUUAUGACAUGAUGAUAUGAUGUGGAAGUCCAGAUGUGGCCUGCACUACGCGCCUGGCACUAUGUAAGUGAAAGACCGGACGUGGCCUGCACUACGCCCCCGGCAUCAUGGAUUAUGUAUGUUAUGUUAUGUUAUGUAUAAGGGAAAGACCAGGUGUGGCCUGCACUACGCCCCUGGCAUGGUUGGAAUAUGUAGAGGGCUAAAUGGUGACAAGUUCAUCCUUGAUAUGAUUAAUUGUGAUGUGAUGCAU